UGUAGAUAGUCAAGAUGUGGGAAUUCUCAUUCCUGAAGAAAACUAUGAGUUACUUAACUUCUCUGUCAUGAAAGACUGGAUUUCUAUAAAAAGAUGCUGGUCAGUCCGAUCAAAUGGAUGAGAAGGGGCUCGAUGGAGGAUGACUGAGCUCUGCAAACGGCUAACAUAGGACCGCCUUUGAGCGAGUACUUGGGAAUUAAAAGCUCUGCUUGGCCUCCCGAGUCUUGACAUUGUGACUUCAGACCUGGGAAGCAGCAUCGAUGCUAAGUGGAUCUUGGAACUGCUUCUCAGAGGAAAGUGUAUUCCAAAAUAAGGGCAGGAGUUCACCGAAAGGCCAUCGUAAUGGAAGCCAGUAAGAGCCAGCGGGGCCGGUCCAGACAUUGGGCUGCAUUGAAGAUGCUUCUUUAUUCACCAAAGGCUGUGGAUGGCUCACCCAGCACCAAGCCCAGUGCUAGCAGCAUCAUGAUGUCAGAUUCUGCUCUCGGCUUUUGCACACAAACUGAGGAAAGGCACCAGUCCUCCUAGGUCCUCUAUGCAGACGGCUGUCAAUCAUUUCCACUUCAGGGAAACAGUACAGAGAGGAAGUCACUUCUCUUCCCAGGGCUGUCUCGAGAGCAGGGCACAGUCUCCACCUGAGCCUGGAACAAAGCAACCAGGUGCUGUUAAAUGACUGUAGACUCACAGUUGAUAAAAAGGAACAUAGAAGGCUUCAACGACAACACCCACCUCCGAAAAGUAACAGCCCAGACAGAAAGCCAUUGAAGAGAACUCUUGAGAAUUGUGAUAAAAAUCCUGCAGUGUAACUCUCCAUUAUUGAUGGCUUCUGGUAGGGGUGUGAAUGGGGAAGGACUCAGUUUUCUUUAAGGGGCUGGCCCUUGGGAAUUUGACCAUGCUCCAUUGAGAGUAUAUAGGCAACACAAAGUGGCCAUUUUUCUUCUUUUUUCUUUUGAGGGGGGUCACAAAGGUGAGGAGGGUGAACUUGGGAGGACUGGGAAUGAGUGUGAUCAGGGUGCAUGAUGUGAAAUUCCCAAAUAAUCAAUAACCAAUGAAAAUAUCCUGACACCGUAAUACAGGAAUCGAGAGAUGGGCUGGGCCAUACCAUUCCGCUCCAUCCAGCCUUACAAAUCUUAUGUCCACUUGAUAUGGGGAGAUAUCUAUCCACUAUUUGUCAGACAGAUGACUUGAGCAUACUGCACCCCACGGGAAUGGCUGCCAUAGUCCCUGCUCUUUCAGACCCACCACCCUCUGUAGACUUUGCUACUCUUUCCUAUAAGUUCAUUCUGUCCUUUUCCAAGACUAUCCCUCCAGUGUGCUCAGGCCAGAUCCUCACAUAGCAGAGGCUUGGCUGUGCUGUGAGGGCACAAGUCAACAAACUUGGUUGGAUCUGCACAGUCCACAGAUAGCGGCCAGUAGACACAGUUGACAGAGAAUUUCACCGGGGCACAAGGUAAGGGCCAAAACCGUUUCUACUGAGUAUCUCAUCCCAGGAAAUGGGGGGCUCUGACCUCACUCUGUGGUGAGGACACCGAUGAAGGACUGCUGUAAGCUCGGUCCUCUCCUGGGCAUUCUCCAUCUCACGCCCACUCCACACGCUCAGCUGUAGGUCUCUCCUUUCCCUCCCCAUAAAACUUUUAAUAAAAGAUGACGUUCUUAAAACAAAGGCUAUUUUCUUCAAAAUCCUUUUUGGUGGCCAUCUAAUAGUUUUUUUUUAAAUAUAUAAUAAAAAC